UAUUGUGGCAUCCUGAGUGGUCUAAGGCACCGCAUUCAGGUCACAGUCUCCCCUGGAGGCAUGGGUUCGUAUCCCACUCCAGACA
rnacentral:tRNA from 1 species